AGAAAGGCCUUCUAGGAACUCAUCUCUCUACCCCGUGCCAGUAACCAGCAGGGUCCUGAGGACUGUAGUCCAGAUGUAUCCUACGUUCAGUGGUGCAGGGUGUGUGUGUAUGUCUGCAUAAAGUAUAAACGCAACAACCUGCCAGCUAAGGAUAACAUUUCAUGUAUCUGAUGAGGCAGACUGUAGUCAACAAAAGUUUAUGCACCCAUAAACUUCUUAAUUUUUCAGGCCACAAAGCAGCGAGGCAAGCUCAUCGAUGCGAUCUCUUUGGCUCACCACAAGAGGUCACCGGAGGCACGGAGCGAACAGCAGGCAUUGGCAGCCAGUAAUUAGCUCACACAACCCAAGCUGUGAUUAUGACUGACUUCUCAAAGUAUGCUGAAUGAAUCCAAGGACUUUACAAUGUCUUUAGGUUGACAAUAUUACUUUUCCCCCUUAAUGCUGAAAUGACAUAUUCUCCCUUUCACAACUUGAUGUGUCUUCACAAUUUGAACUUCAGUAAGCUACUUCGAAGAUAAAAGAAGUGAAAUUCAUUAUUUUUACAGCUUGAAAAUGUAGAUCCUUGAAAGCACAACCAACCAGGACGUUCCUCAGUGCAAGCUCUGUAGAAAUGCACAGGAUGCUCUUGCACAAACCCUACCCUAUUGAUUUCAAGCUUUAAAACAAAAACAGAAAACAGAAAAACCCACACAUUUGUACAGCUGAACCUCCCAGUGGCUCCUGCCUCCAAUGACAAACCACAAAUGAAGGCAGUCUAC